CCAAAAAUUGUUUAUUCUGCCAGUCUUGAGAUCAAAACUUCAUUAAUUAAUAAUGGUGAUAUCAUUAACAGCCAUAUCCUUAGCCCAGUAAGUUUUUAAUUUUGUGUUUUUGUUACUAUAAAUGAUACAUCUUUGAUUGUUUAGAACCAUCCAACUUGUUACUGUGCUGAAAUGGCUUAACCUUACUGUAAUUCUUUUCUGAUGGGAUCAUUUUGGUUUUAGCUUAUAGGAGGAAAUUUCCUCUGUUGCAUCCUUCAGUGCUUUUUCAUUUCUGUAAUAUUUUUGUUUGGCUUCUGUUGGAAUUUGAUAAUGGUUGUGCAGGGAGAGAAGCAUGAGAGCAUGAGGAGGAAACAUGAAGAUAAGUGGAAGCAUGAGAGCAUGAAGAGGG
rnacentral:misc_RNA from 1 species